CGGAGGCGGUCUCGUUGAGCGCUCCUUUAAGAACAAGGGUACUGCGAAGAUGCAAACCCCUUCCUCUAGCGCCAAUCCUGUUGGUGCAAAAAUCUGCCUGCGCCGGAGAAGCUGGAGUCGAGGGAGUCGCGGUCACCAUCGGGACCUGCAAAAGAAGUCUAAACCGGAGGUGGGGUUGCUCCGGCAAGAUCCUUCGAUGCUCAAGUCAGUUCUCUGCCUCAACA
rnacentral:lncRNA from 1 species